GAGUCUUUUGCCAGCCAAUCAUUGGCGAGCAGCCGCAGCAGCGUCCCCGCCUCCUGUGGGCUCAGGAUAAUUUUCAUCCUGCGCUUUUUUUCUUUUCUUCCCGCGCUAACGUGCCCGUUAAUAUCUCUGUUGUGCUGGUGUGACCUCCGAGCUGACCUCCGCGGUAUGCUCCCGGUGCGGGUCUGAAGCGGGGCUGUGUGAACACUAGAGGCGGACAAAGUGAAAUGCAUCCCGGGAGCGCUGAACCUGUUCCCUCCCGCACACAAAGCCUGUGAAGCAGGCCGAGCUUUCCUCUGUGAGACGCCGCCGAUGAUGCUCAAACAUGUCGGGGAAUCAUUUCAAAGGCCACGAAGUCAGCUGCUGCAUCAAAUACUUCAUUUUUGGAUUCAACAUCCUGUUCUGGCUGCUGGGCAUGGCCUUGGUUGGAAUUGGACUGUGGGCAUGGAGUGAGAAGGGGGUUCUGUCCAACAUCUCUUCCAUCACAGACCUCGGGGGCCUGGACCCAGUCUGGCUGUUCAUGGUGGUCGGGGGGGUCAUGUUCAUUCUGGGCUUUGCAGGAUGCAUCGGAGCCCUCAGAGAAAACACAUUUCUACUCAAGUUUUUCUCCGUGUUCCUGGGAAUCAUCUUCUUCUUGGAGUUGACGACGGGAGUCCUGGCAUUUGUCUUCAAGGACUGGAUCAAAGAUCAGCUCAACCUGUUCAUCAACAACAACAUCCGGGCGUACCGGGACGACAUUGAUCUCCAGAACCUCAUUGAUUUCACCCAGGAAUAUUGGGAGUGCUGUGGGGCGUUUGGAGCAGACGACUGGAACCUGAACAUCUACUUUAACUGCACUGACGGGAACCCCAGCCGGGAAAAGUGUGGCGUUCCCUUCUCGUGCUGCACCAAGGACCCAGCGGAGGACGUGAUAAACACUCAGUGUGGAUACGACAUUCGAGCUAAGCCAGACUCCGAGCAGAAGGACUACAUCAACGUGAAAGGCUGCGUGCCGCAGUUCGAGAAGUGGCUGCAGGACAACCUCACCUUGGUGGCCGGGAUAUUUAUAGGAGUUGCACUACUGCAGAUUUUUGGCAUUUGUUUGGCCCAAAACUUAGUGAGCGACAUCGAAGCUGUGCAGGCGAGCUGGCAGGUUUUGGUCAUGGACCAGAUAGGGAUGACACAGGCAGAGGCUCCCCAGGAGGCUGGAUCCUGAGCAGGGCUUGGUGGAGCAGGCAAGGGCAACAGGUCAGAAGGUCAAGGGCCAGAGAGCUGGGCAGAGCAGUUUCUUUACCUAAUGCAGCACUUCGCUUCUAACAGCUCCAGGUCUUUGAACGCACCUCCUUGAACAUCGUCAGGGAGCCUUCAGAGGACUUCACCGAUCACCUGCACUGUUGUGUUCAUGGAACCAGCACCUUUUUUUCCAAGGCACUAAUGCGUGAAAAGCUCUGUAUAUAAUAACAGUGUGUGACUGCUGUAAAAAGAUAGUUGUUGGAGAAGAUGGUGAAACGUGCACUACAUACAGAUCGUCACAAUGCUCCAGUUUUGAUAGCUAUGUGUAGACCGUAGGAGUUUUGAUACAUCUUUUUGAUAUUAGAUCGGUAUUUUUCACUGUGGGCAUAAUGCUCCAUCGCUACACCAUUCACGUAGGACUGUGAAAUAGUUCAAGAAAAAGAGGAUCUUCUUGUUUUAAAGUUUGACACUUCACACCACCGGCGGCCUCUGACGAGUGGUGUGAAGUCAAAAGUUCCAGAAGUUCACAAGUUGAGUUUUUUUUUAACACUUUGAGGGUUUCUGUGUGUUCCAGCAGAUUCUUCAGCUAUACGACAUCUCUUUUAACAAGUAACAAGAAUUAUUUCUGCCUCUGAAUAAUCUGAUUUAUCUACAGACUUCAACAGCAUUCCUGUUGCACUAACAAUGAAUUUUGAAUUCAAACAGCCGUAAGAUGACGAGUUAAAGAGGAAACUCCAAAUUAUUUAGUUACCUCUUUUGGCAUUGACUGAAAAGUGUCUGUAGACCUGGAGACUUUGAUCAGAUAUUAGAUGAAUUUAACCAAUUCUUAUUUUAGGUUAACAUUUUUCUAUCUCAAUACAAUUAAUUAUUCUUCCUCCUCUUGUUACUGUCCAUGAAACAACCUCUUAGUCACAUGAAAUUCACAGUCCUUGCUCUGUGUAAAAAUAUUUCUGAAGCUGAGGUUAAUUUGAGGAGUUUGGAGGUUUACCAACUGUUCCAGCAGCUAAAAAUAUCUCGACUUUGGAAGAUCAUUUCACGAACGUGUUAUUGCUUCUGCGAUACUUUCAAAUACAUUUUUGUCCAGAACAAGGACUGUAGAUUUUGACCUGCUCCCCAGCGUUGAAAAGUGACUCAACCAGCUCGGAAUGAUCAUUAAUGUACACGUGGUGUGGACUUGAAGAAUCUGAACCAACCAAUGAAAAAUGUGUUUUUGAAGGAAACAGGCAUCAGUACUGAAACUCAAGUACCAAAGCAGCAUUACACCAUAAGUCACACCAGAUCCAAGAUAAAGAAGUCUUUGUAAUGCUGUCCUGACAGUCUGAAAGGUGAACUCUUUAACUGACACAUGUUGAAACAUUUAAAAAUUGUCCUGAAACACACACUGUAGCUGUCAUUUCAUUUCCGUGUUUUACCGACCACGUUACGUGAAGUUCGAUGGUCUGAACGUGAACAUGAUUUGUCCUCGUAUUGAAUUUAGGAGAAGAUUUGGAAUAUUUCUCGAACAUUUCUGACCUUACUUGAAUGAAAACAGAUCCGGCACGUUAUCCCAUGACUGCCUUCGACUACUGAACAUGUAUCUUUGAUGAACACCCAGAGAUGAAAUGGAGAAAAUGUUAAUGUUUUUUUUAUUCUCUGUGUUUCCGAUGGUUUUCUUUGCUGAACGCAUGUGUCACUCGUUUGGUUUGUAGCAAAGUAUUGACAGUAUUUUAUGAGUGAAGUGUUUCCUCGGUCUGUUCAGACUGUUACUGUUGGAUACAUUGUUAAAAAGGGAUCGACUGUCUGAUACUAAAUAUUUAUUGUACAUUUUAUUUGGCUUUUAUAAGUCCCCUGGUGUGUCAGAAAGCAGAACAUUGAGUGCUACUGAAGCUGAUUAGUCUCUGCAGAUCGAGUUUAUGUGCCGGGUGCAGGAGGUUGUAUAAUUCUCUAUGGUCCUGCUGUAUAGACCGCUCACUCAUCACGACACGCACCGCGUCCAAGGAUUGUUUAGAUGGUCACAAUGUAUCCCACAAACAUAGUAAUGUAACUACCUCCUAAUUCCCUUGUUUCAUGUCCUGUUGGAAGUGGACUGAUUUUAAUAUUGAGUUAAAUUAAUUAAUAAAGGUGACAAAAAAACAUUGA